rnacentral:rRNA from 1 species
UACGGGGGGGGCAAGCGUUGUUCGGAAUUACUGGGCGUAAAGGGCUCGUAGGCGGCCAACUAAGUCAGACGUGAAAUCCCUCGGCUUAACCGGGGAACUGCAUCUGAUACUGGAUGGCUUGAGUUCGGGAGAGGGAUGCGGAAUUCCAGGUGUAGCGGUGAAAUGCGUAGAUAUCGAGAGGAACACCGGUGGCGAAGGCGGCGAUCUGGACGAUGACUGACGCUGAGACGCGAAAGCGUGGGGAGCAAACAGG